rnacentral:rRNA from 1 species
UACGGAGGGUGCGAGCGUUGUCCGGAAUCAUUGGGCGUAAAGGGCGCGUAGGUGGCCCGGUCAGUUCGUGGUGAAAGCGCGGGGCUCAACCCUGCGUCGGCCAUGAAUACUGCCGCGGCUGGAGCACUGUAGAGGCAGGCGGAAUUCCGGGUGUAGCGGUGGAAUGCGUAGAGAUCCGGAAGAACACCGGUGGCGAAGGCGGCCUGCUGGGGCAGUUGCUGACACUGAGGCGCGACAGCGUGGGGAGCAAACAGGAUAGAA